rnacentral:lncRNA from 1 species
UGGCCAAUCCUCCAUAGGGGUGCGUCCAAGAUGAUGUGAUGAGGUCACACAGACUGUGUAUUAGAAAUUAUGUCAUAAAAUCAAUCAUGUGAUGAUUGAGUUCAUCCUUAUAUAUGAAUUAUUGAUUAUUAAAUAAAAAUUAUUCUGAUAUUUUUCAUCAUAAAGUAACAUCUUCUUUGAACUCUUGUGCUGUGAUGAAGUCC